UACAGAGGUCUCAAGCGUUGUUCGGAUUCAUUGGGCGUAAAGGGUGUGUAGGUGGCGCGCUAAGUCGGGUGUGAAAUUUCGGAGCUUAACUCCGAAACUGCAUUCGAUACUGGCGUGCUUGAGGACUGGAGAGGAGACUGGAAUUCAUGGUGUAGCAGUGAAAUGCGUAGAGAUCGGGAGGAACACCGGUGGCGAAGGCGGGUCUCUGGGCAUCUCCUGACGCUGAGGCGCGAAAGCGUGGGGAGCAAACGGG
rnacentral:rRNA from 1 species